UACGGAGGGGGCUAGCGUUGUUCGGAAUCACUGGGCGUAAAGGGUGCGUAGGCGGGGCUUUAAGUCAGGGGGGAAAUCCUGGAGCUCAACUCCAGAACUGCCUUUGAUACUGAGGAUCUUGAGUAUGGGAGAGGUGAGUGGAACUGCGAGUGUAGAGGUGAAAUUCGUAGAUAUUCGCAAGAACACCAGUGGCGAAGGCGGCUCACUGGCCCAUUACUGACGCUGAGGUGCGAAAGCGUGGGGAGCAAACAGG
rnacentral:rRNA from 1 species